rnacentral:rRNA from 1 species
UACGUAGGGACCAAGCGUUGUUCGGAUUUACUGGGCGUAAAGGGCGCGUAGGCGGCUUGACAAGUCACUUGUGAAAUCUCCGGGCUUAACUCGGAACGGCCAAGUGAAACUGUCAUGCUAGAGUGCAGAAGGGGCAAUCGGAAUUCUUGGUGUAGCGGUGAAAUGCGCAGAUAUCGGGAGGAACACCAGUGGCGAAGGCGGCACUCUGGGCCAGUACUGACGCUGAGGAGCGAAAGCGUGGGGAGCGAGUCCGG